CCCUUAGAUGUUCUGGGCCGCACGCGUGCUACACUGAGUGGAUCAGCGGGUCAGGUUGCGCGAAAGCGUUUCCUAAUCUUUAAAUCCGCUCGUGAUGGGGAUUGACGGUUGCAAUUUUCUGUCAUGAACGAGGAAUACCUUGUAAGCGCGGGUCAUCAUCCCGCGCUGAAUACGUCCCUGCCCUUUGUACACACCGCCCGUCGCUCCUACCGAUUGAGUGGUCCGGUGAGGCUUUGGGAUCUGAGCGGAAAGAGCGUUUCGCUGUUUCUGCUCGGAAAACUCAGUCGAACCUUAUCAUUUAGCGGAAGGAGAAGUCGUAACA
rnacentral:rRNA from 1 species